rnacentral:rRNA from 1 species
CGGUGUUUAACUGGCGUGAUGUGGGACGUCCUACCGGUGGGCUUGGCCUCGCGAGGGGCGGCCCAACUAAUAUCCCGUCGCGGUGCUCUUUACUGAGUGUCGAGUCGGGCCGGUACGUUUACUUUGAACAAAUUAGAGUGCUUAAAGCAGGCUAUCCUCGCCUGAAUACUGCGUGCAUGGAAUAAUGGAAUAGGACCUCGGUUCUAUUUUGUUGGUUUUCGGAACCCCGAGGUAAUGAUUAAUAGGGACAGAUGGGGGCAUUCGUAUUGCGACGUUAGAGGUGAAAUUCUUGGAUCGUCGCAAGACGGACAGAAGCGAAAGCAUUUGCCAAAAAUGUUUUCAUUAAUCAAGAACGAAAGUUAGAGGUUCGAAGGCGAUCAGAUACCGCCCUAGUUCUAACCAUAAACGAUGCCAGCUAGCGAUCCGCCGAAGUUCCUCCGAUGACUCGGCGGGCAGCUUCCGGGAAACCAAAGCUUUUGGGUUCCGGGGGAAGUAUGGUUGCAAAGCUGAAACUUAAAGGAAUUGACGGAAGGGCACCACCAGGAGUGGAGCCUGCGGCUUAAUUUGACUCAACACGGGAAACCUCACCAGGCCCAGACACCGGAAGGAUUGACAGAUUGAUAGCUCUUUCUUGAUUCGGUGGGUGGUGGUGCAUGGCCGUUCUUAGUUGGUGGAGCGAUUUGUCUGGUUAAUUCCGAUAACGAACGAGACUCUAGCCUGCUAAAUAGGCGUACCUUAUGGUAUCGCGAAGGCCCCCGGCUUCGGCCGGUGGGUUUUUACUACCAACGUACAAACAAAUCUUCUUAGAGGGACAGGCGG